GGGGAUAGAGCUCAGUGGAAGGGCACUCACCUGGCAUGUGUGAGGCCCUGGGUUCAAUCCCCCGUACCACUA
rfam:Ictidomys tridecemlineatus contig021684, whole genome shotgun sequence.